rnacentral:rRNA from 1 species
CAGAGGUCUCGAGCGUUAGUCGGAGUCACUGGGCUUAAAGCGUACGUAGGCGGGCAUGCAGGCGUCGUGUGAAAUCCCUCGGCUCAACCGGGGAACUGCGCGGCGAACCGCAUGUCUUGAGAAAGGUAGGGGCGGUCGGAACGAUAGGUGGAGUGGUGAAAUGCGUUGAUAUCUAUCGGAACGCCGAAGGUGAAGACAGGCCGCUGGGCCUUUUCUGACGCUGAGGUACGAAAGCGUGGGUAGCGAACGGGAUUAGAUACCCCGGUAGUCCACGCCGUAAACGAUGUGCACUAGAUCGAGGAGGAUCUGACUCUGUUCUCGGUCGAAGUAAAACGUUGAGUGCACCGUCUGGGGAGUACGGUCGCAAGGCUA